CCGUGGAUAAUAUAGGCUUCAGCCUCUUUUUUCUUUUUUCUUUUCUAUUAUCGAUGACCGGCUGCAAUCUCCUCCCAUCAUUCUCUAUUUUAUUUAAAAUUAUCCACUGCAAGUAGUAGCUGCAGCCACAAUUUUUCUCAUGAUUGCUUUUCCUAUUUUUAAUACUCUCACUAGGCCUACUGGGUCGAGAAGGCACUUCAGAUGGGUCAAGAAGGUAUUGAGAAGUACGACCCAGUGGAUGCGUCCGAUCGCAAUCCUUAACUUUGCAUGCGUAACACGCAGCAUUUCAGAUGGUGGAUACUCAGCAACGUCUAAAGGCGACAC
rnacentral:lncRNA from 1 species